GACGAACGCUGGCGGCGUGCUUAACACAUGCAAGUCGAACGGUAAGGCCCUUCGGGGUACACGAGUGGCGAACGGGUGAGUAACACGUGGGUGAUCUGCCCUGCACUUCGGGAUAAGCCUGGGAAACUGGGUCUAAUACCGGAUAGGACCACUGCCUGCAUGGGUGGUGGUGGAAAGCUUUUGCGGUGUGGGAUGGGCCCGCGGCCUAUCAGCUUGUUGGUGGGGUGAUGGCCUACCAAGGCGACGACGGGUAGCCGGCCUGAGAGGGUGACCGGCCACACUGGGACGGAGAGACGGCCCAGACUCCUACGGGAGGCAGCAGUGGGGAAUAUUGCACAAUGGGCGCAAGCCUGAUGCAGCGACGCCGCGUGAGGGAUGACGGCCCUCGGGUUGUAAACCUCUUUCAGCACCGACGAAGCGCAAGUGACGGUAGGUGCAGAAGAAGGACCGGCCAACUACGUGCCAGCCGCCGCCGCAGUAA
rnacentral:rRNA from 1 species